rnacentral:rRNA from 1 species
UGGGGAAUAUUGCACAAUGGGCGCAAGCCUGAUGCAGCCAUGCCGCGUGUAUGAAGAAGGCCUUCGGGUUGUAAAGUACUUUCAGCGGGGAGGAAGGUGUUGUGGUUAAUAACCACAGCAAUUGACGUUACCCGCAGAAGAAGCACCGGCUAACUCCGUGCCAGCAGCCGCGGUAAUACGGAGGGUGCAAGCGUUAAUCGGAAUUACUGGGCGUAAAGUGCACGCAGGCGGUCUGUCAAGUCGGAUGUGAAAUCCCCGGGCUCAACCUGGGAACUGCAUCCGAAACUGGCAGGCUUGAGUCUUGUAGAGGGGGGUAGAAUUCCAGGUGUAGCGGUGAAAUGCGUAGAGAUCUGGAGGAAUACCGGUGGCGAAGGCGGCCCCCUGGACAAAGACUGACGCUCAGGUGCGAAAGCGUGGGGAGCAAACA